UGCCUUGUACAAUUGGGGCAAUUGCGUUGGCGCUUCUCCACAUUUACAGGCAUCUCAUGAAUUAUACUGAACCCACGUAUCAGAGAUACAUUGUCCGAAUUAUCUUUAUGGUUCCUGUAAGUAUCCAGCUGCCCCUAAUAUUGAUUCUACUUAAAUCACAUCUAUUUCACUCUUCUUCAUGCAUUUGAUUUUAAGGUUAGCCUUUGUGUUAAGUUUGGCAAUUUCCUAAGGCAAAAUCAAAGUCCUAGUUGAAAUGUAUUAGGUGUUUAUCGAGUUAUAAUCAAAGUCAAAAUAGUUGAGGAUUGGUAGUAUAGGUCUUGAAAGAGUUCAAGAUAUCCAAGGAUCGGGAACUGUUGCACAAAGCACAAAUUCAAGAGGACUAAGGUGAGGUACUUGGAGCCAGGAUUUGACGUCGGGAGCACGCAGUCCAGGAGGGCUAAGGUAUAAAACAGAAGUCGGAAUUUGUUUUGAAGAGGCACACCUCCAUUAAGAUCAAGGGAGACUUCCGAAAUUAAGGACAAAAGUUCUACGGAAUAGACGGGCCUGGUCCACAAUGUAAGUUUGCUUCGAUUUAUAGUGGAUUAUUGACCAGCAAAGUGUCCGGAGUAUUUCUCAAGUUGGGGUUUCUUCGUCAUCAUCUUUGGUUUUCUUUAUUGUUUUAAUUAUUGAUCGUGGCAUUCAUUCCAUGGGAUAAUUGAACUUGAUUGACCAAUGACCCAGAAACAAUUAAAAGUGACUUGUUGCUUUUAAUUAUGUAAUUCCGCUCAUUGGAUCUAAAUAAAUCGG
rnacentral:lncRNA from 1 species